GUUGGGGGUACCCGUUGCAGAGCCAGGGACAUGAUGCAGGCGAAGCUUGGGAUCUGGCCAAGUUGGACUUUGAUCCUUUGGGCAGAUGUCCCAUUGCUCCCUGGAGCCUGUCAUGCCUGUUGGGGAUCAGGCAGCCUCCUGAUGCCAGAACACCUCAGGCAGAGCCCUACUCAGCUGUACCUGUCUGCCUGGACUGUCCCCUGUCCCCGCAUCUCCCCUGGGACCAGCUGGAGGGCCACAUGCACACACAGCCUAGCUGCCCCCAGGGAGCUCUGCUGCCCUUGCUGGCCCUGCCCUUCCCACAGUUGAUAUGAGACUGAAACCCCUGGGUUGUGGAGGGAAAUUGGCUCAGAGAUGGACAACCUGGCAACUGUGAGUCCCUGCUUCCCGACACCAGCCUCAUGGAAUAUGCAACAACUCCUGUACCCCAGUCCACGGUGUUCUGGCAGCAGGGACACCUGGGCCAAUGGGCCAUCUGGACCAAAGGUGGGGUGUGGGGCCCUGGAUGGCAGCUCUGGCCCAGACAUGAAUACCUCGUGUUCCUCCUCCCUCUAUUACUGUUUCACCAGAGCUGUCUUAGCUCAAAUCUGUUGUGUUUCUGAGUCUAGGGUCUGUACACUUGUUUAUAAUAAAUGCAAUCGUUUGG
rnacentral:lncRNA from 1 species